GACGUAGGGGACGAGCGUUGUCCGGAUUCAUUGGGCGUAAAGCGCGCGUAGGCGGUUACGCAAGUCGGUUGUGAAAAUCCGGGGCUCAACCCCGGACCUGCAUCCGAUACUGCGUGACUAGAGGUAGGUAGGGGAGUGUGGAAUGCUUGGUGUAGAGGUGAAAUUCGUAGAUAUCAAGCAGAACACCUGCGGCGAAGGCGGCCUUCUGGACGAUGACUGACGCUGAGACGCGAAAGCGUGGGGAGCAAACAGG
rnacentral:rRNA from 1 species